rnacentral:rRNA from 1 species
GAUAUUGCACAAUGGGGGAAACCCUGAUGCAGCGACGCCGCGUGAGCGAAGAAGGAUUUCGGUAUGUAAAGCUCUAUCCGCAGGGAAGAAAAUGACGGUACCUGACUAAGAAGCUCCGGCUAAAUACGUGCCAGCAGCCGCGGUAAUACGUAUGGAGCAAGCGUUAUCCGGAUUUACUGGGUGUAAAGGGAGCGUAGACGGUGAUGCAAGUCUGAUGUGAAAGGUGAGGGCUCAACCCUUAAACUGCAUUGGAAACUGUGUUACUAGAGUGUCGGAGAGGUAAGUGGAAUUCCUAGUGUAGCGGUGAAAUGCGUAGAUAUUAGGAGGAACACCAGCGGCGAAGGCGGCUUACUGGACGAUAACUGACGUUGAGGCUCGAAAGCGUGGGGAGCAAACAGG